rnacentral:tRNA from 1 species
GCCGGAAUGGCGAAAUUGGCAGACGCACUGGACUUAAAAUCCAGCGGUGGUAAAACACCGUACCGGUUCAAGCCCGGUUUCCGGCACCA